UUAUAUGAGAGUUUGAUCCUGGCUCAGGACGAACGCUGGCGGCGUGCCUAAUACAUGCAAGUCGAACGCUUUUUCUUUCACCGGAGCUUGCUCCACCGAAAGAAAAGGAGUGGCGAACGGGUGAGUAACACGUGGGUAACCUGCCCAUCAGAAGGGGAUAACACUUGGAAACAGGUGCUAAUACCGUAUAACAAUCGAAACCGCAUGGUUUCGGUUUGAAAGGCGCUUUUGCGUCACUGAUGGAUGGACCCGCGGUGCAUUAGCUAGUUGGUGAGGUAACGGCUCACCAAGGCAACGAUGCAUAGCCGACCUGAGAGGGUGAUCGGCCACAUUGGGACUGAGACACGGCCCAAACUCCUACGGGAGGCAGCAGUAGGGAAUCUUCGGCAAUGGACGAAAGUCUGACCGAGCAACGCCGCGUGAGUGAAGAAGGUUUUCGGAUCGUAAAACUCUGUUGUUAGAGAAGAACAAGGAUGAGAGUA
rnacentral:rRNA from 1 species